rnacentral:rRNA from 1 species
AGAGUUUGAUCAUGGCUCAGAGUGAACGCUAGCGGCGUGCCUAAGGCAUGCAAGUCGUACGAGAAAGUUGGCUUCGGUCAGCGAGUAAAGUGGCGCACGGGUGAGGAAUACUUAGGUAACCUACCCUUAUGCUGGGGAUAACUGGGCGAAAGCUCGGCUAAUACCGAAUACACCGGCGAGUUCUGCGGAACAUGUCGGGAAAGUCGCAAGACGCGUAGGGAGGGGCUUAAGCCCCAUUAGCUUGUUGGUAGGGUAACGGCCUACCAAGGCAUUGAUGGGUAACUGGUCUGAGAGGAUGUCCAGUCACACUGAAACUGAAACACGGUUCAGACUCCUACGGGAGGCAGCAGCUAGGAAUUUUGCGCAAUGGGGGAAACCCUGACGCAGCAACGCCGCGUGAAUGAUGAAGGCCUUCGGGUUGUAAAGUUCUUUUAGCAGGGACGAAAAAAAUGACUGUACCUGCGGAAAAAGCACCGGCAAACUUCGUGCCAGCAGCCGCGGUAAUACGAAGGGUGCAAGCGUUACUCGGAAUCACUGGGCUUAAAGCGUUUGUAGGUUGUUUGGUAAGUUUGGUGUGAAAUCCCUCUGCUCAAAGGAGGAAGUGCAUUGAAUACUGCUAAACUAGAGGAUAGGAGAGGUGGACGGAAUUCCUGGUGUAGAGGUGAAAUUCGUAGAUAUCAGGAGGAACAACGGAGGCGAAGGCGGUCCACUGGACUAUAUCUGACACUGAAAAACGAAAGUGUGGGGAGCAAACAGGAUUAGAUACCCUAGUAGUCC